rnacentral:rRNA from 1 species
GAUUAACGCUGGCGGCGUGCAUAACACAUGCAAGUCGAACGAUGAAACUUUACUGAACCCUUCGGGGCGAAUUACAGCGGAUUAGUUGCGAUCGGGUGAGUAACGCGUGAGUAACCUGCCUUACACAAGGGAAUAGCCUUUGGAAACGAUGAAUAAUACCCUAUAAAACCAUAAAAGCACAUGCAAUUAUGGUCAAAGUGAUAGCGGUGUAAGAUGGACUUGCGUCUGAUUAGCUAGUUGGUGAGAUAAAAGCCCACCAAGGCAACGAUCAGUAGCCGGCUUGAGAGAGUGUACAGCCACAUUGCGACUGAGACACGGCCCAGACUCCUACGGGAGGCAGCAGUGGGGAAUUUUGCACAAUGGGGGAAACCCUGAUGCAGCGACGCCGCGUGAUUUAGAAGGCCUUCGGGUUGUAAAAAUCUUUUGUAUAGGAAGAAAAUGACAGUACUAUACGAAUAAGGUCCGGCUAAUUACGUG